UGGGGAAUAUUGGACAAUGGGCGCAAGCCUGAUCCAGCAAUGCCGCGUGUGUGAAGAAGGCCUUCGGGUUGUAAAGCACUUUUAUCAGGGAAGAAAUCCUGCGGGCUAAUACCCUGUGGGGAUGACGGUACCUGAGGAAUAAGCACCGGCUAACUUCGUGCCAGCAGCCGCGGUAAUACGAAGGGUGCAAGCGUUAAUCGGAAUUACUGGGCGUAAAGGGUGCGUAGGCGGUUCGUUAAGUCGGAUGUGAAAGCCCUGGGCUCAACCUGGGAAUGGCAUCCGAAACUGGCGGGCUGGAGUGCGGUAGAGGAUGGUGGAAUUCCCGGUGUAGCGGUGAAAUGCGUAGAGAUCGGGAGGAACACCAGUGGCGAAGGCGGCCAUCUGGACCAGCACUGACGCUGAGGCACGAAAGCGUGGGGAGCAAACAGGAUUAGAUACCCUGGUAGUCCACGCCCUAAACGAUGCGGACUGGAUGUUGGGGGCAACUAGGCCUUCAGUAUCGAAGCUAACGCGUUAAGUCCGCCGCCUGGGGAGUACGGUCGCAAGACUGAAACUCAAAGGAAUUGACGGACAGUGUGAGU
rnacentral:rRNA from 1 species